rnacentral:rRNA from 1 species
AACGAACGCUGGCGGCAUGCCUAACACAUGCAAGUCGAACGAGACCUUCGGGUCUAGUGGCGCACGGGUGCGUAACGCGUGGGAAUCUGCCCUUGGGUUCGGAAUAACAGUUGGAAACGACUGCUAAUACCGGAUGAUGACGUAAGUCCAAAGAUUUAUCGCCCAGGGAUGAGCCCGCGUAGGAUUAGCUAGUUGGUGGUGUAAAGGCCUACCAAGGCGACGAUCCUUAGCUGGUCUGAGAGGAUGAUCAGCCACACUGGGACUGAGACACGGCCCAGACUCCUACGGGAGGCAGCAGUGGGGAAUAUUGGACAAUGGGCGAAAGCCUGAUCCAGCAAUGCCGCGUGAGUGAUGAAGGCCUUAGGGUUGUAAAGCUCUUUUACCCGGGAUGAUAAUGACAGUACCGGGAGAAUAAGCCCCGGCUAACUCCGUG